UACGUAGGGUGCAAGCGUUAAUCGGAAUUACUGGGCGUAAAGCGUGCGCAGGCGGUUGUGCAAGACAGAUGUGAAAUCCCCGGGCUCAACCUGGGAACUGCAUUUGUGACUGCACGGCUAGAGUGUGUCAGAGGGGGGUAGAAUUCCACGUGUAGCAGUGAAAUGCGUAGAUAUGUGGAGGAAUACCGAUGGCGAAGGCAGCCCCCUGGGAUAACACUGACGCUCAGGUGCGAAAGCGUGGGGAGCAAACAGG
rnacentral:rRNA from 1 species